rnacentral:rRNA from 1 species
UACGUAGGCAGCGAGCGUUGUUCGGAAUUACUGGGCGUAAAGAGUGUGUAGGCGGUGCUCUAAGUUCGGUGUGAAAUCUCCUGGCUCAACUGGGAGGAUGCGCCGGAAACUGGAGUGCUUGAGCGUGGGAGAGGAAAGCGGAAUUCCUGGUGUAGCGGUGAAAUGCGCAGAUAUCAGGAGGAACACCGGUGGCGAAGGCGGGUCUCUGGGCCGUUACUGACGCUGAGGAGCGAAAGCAUGGGGAGCGAACAGG